AUGGGUGACGCCAAGUCGUCGUGGCCGGAGCUGCUGGGGGCGCCGUCCGAGGUGGCGAAGCAGAAGAUCCUCAGUGACCGCCCGGACGUGCGCGUGUUCGUGGUGCCCGUCGGCAACAACGUCACCGGCGACUUCAACGACAAGCGCGUCCGCGUCUUCGUCAACACCCGCGGCGACGUCGCCAGGGUCCCCAACAUCGGCUAG
rnacentral:rRNA from 1 species